AACGAACGCUGGCGGCGUGGAUAAGACAUGCAAGUCGAACGGGAGAAUUGCUAGCUUGCUAAUAAUUCUCUAGUGGCGCACGGGUGAGUAACACGUGAGUAACCUGCCUCUUAGUGGGGGAUAGCCCUGGGAAACCGGGAUUAAUACCGCAUACGAUUGAAAGAUCAAAGCAGCAAUGCGCUAGGAGAUGGGCUCGCGGCCUAUUAGUUAGUUGGUGAGGUAACGGCUCACCAAGGCGAUGACGGGUAGCCGGUCUGAGAGGAUGUCCGGCCACACUGGAACUGAGACACGGUCCAGACACCUACGGGUGGCAGCAGUCGAGAAUCAUUCACAAUGGGGGCAACCCUGAUGGUGCGACGCCGCGUGGGGGAAUGAAGGUCUUCGGAUUGUAAACCCCUGUCAUGUGGGAGCAAAUUAAAAAGAUAGUACCACAAGAGGAAGAGACGGCUAACUCUGUGCCAGCAGCCGCGGUAAUACAGAGGUCUCAAGCGUUGUUCGGAAUCACUGGGCGUAAAGCGUGCGUAGGCUGUUUCGUAAGUCGUGUGUGAAAGGCAGGGGCUCAACCCCUGGAUUGCACAUGAUACUGCGAGACUAGAGUAAUGGAGGGGGAACCGGAAUUCUCGGUGUAGCAGUGAAAUGCGUAGAUAUCGAGAGGAACACUCGUGGCGAAGGCGGGUUCCUGGACAUUAACUGACGCUGAGGCACGAAGGCCAGGGGAGCGAAAGGGAUUAGAUACCCCUGUAGUCCCGGCAGUAAACGGUGCACGCUUGGUGUGCGGGGAAUCGACCCCCUGCGUGCCGGAGCUAACGCGUUAAGCGUGCCGCCUGGGGAGUACGGUCGCAAGAUUAAAACUCAAAGAAAUUGACGGGGACCCGCACAAGCGGUGGAGUAUGUGGCUUAAUUCGAUGCAACGCGAAGAACCUUACCUGGGCUUGACAUGUAAUGAACAACAUGUGAAAGCAUGCGACUCUUCGGAGGCGUUACACAGGUGCUGCAUGGCCGUCGUCAGCUCGUGUCGUGAGAUGUUUGGUUAAGUCCAGCAACGAGCGCAACCCCUGUUGCCAGUUACCAUCGAGUAAUGUCGGGGACUCUGGCGAGACUGCCCAGAUCAACUGGGAGGAAGGUGGGGACGACGUCAGGUCAGUAUGGCCCUUAUGCCCAGGGCUGCACACGUACUACAAUGCCCAGUACAGAGGGGGCCGAAGCCGCGAGGCGGAGGAAAUCCUGAAAACUGGGCCCAGUUCGGACUGUAGGCUGCAACCCGCCUACACGAAGCCGGAAUCGCUAGUAAUGGCGCAUCAGCUACGGCGCCGUGAAUACGUUCCCGGGUCU
rnacentral:rRNA from 1 species